CUUUCACCGGUAACCAGAAGCUUCUUCUUCUUUCUGUCCCCUAGGGUUUUCUGGAUUAGUACAGCUUCACUACUUCUCGAUUCUCAACCCAAUUCCUGCGAAGAAUUCAGAGCAAUGCCUCGGUAUUAUUGUGACUACUGUGACACUUAUUUGACCCACGAUUCGCCUUCAGUUAGAAAGCAACACAAUGCUGGUUAUAAACACAAGGCAAACGUGAGGUUGUACUAUCAGAAAUUUGAGGAGCAACAAACCCAAAGUUUGGUUGACCAAAGAAUCAAGGAGCACCUUGGCCAGCACCUUGGCCAAGCUGCAGCUUACGGGCAAGUUGGUGCAGCUUACAAUCAACAUUUAAUGGCUCAGCGGCCCCGUCUUCCUGUUCUACCAACACCUGGUAUGCCACAAAUGCCUGGAGGUGCACAAAUGGUCCCAGGGAUGAGGCCUCCAGUUUUGCCAAGACCUAUGCCUGGAGCUCCAGGAGGAUAUGGCUCUGCUCCACCCAUGAUGUCAAUGAUGGCUCCACCUGGUGCUCCUGGAAUGCCUGGUCAAUUAAAUGUUCCGAUGAGGCCUCCCACUAUGAAUCCUCCACCAACAGUUCCUGGCAGCACAGCACCAAAUGCUUCUAUUGGUGUCCCUUCUAUGGCUCCACCUCCAAUGUAUCAAUCCAAUCAAACACCACCAACAAGUGGAGGCUAUGAUGGUUUUAAUCCCAAUACCCAACCUCCUGAUUCUAGUCAAUAAUGUGGUCAAAUUGGUAUGUGGUAUUCCUGUACUUAAGAAAACUGAGGCAUCUUGCAAGAGUGUGCAAUCACUUGAAAACCAGGGAAUAUCACUGAUGUUGCAGCACUUUCGUUCGAGAAGUCUUCUGCCAUAAUUUGGUAUAAUGUCCUUUCAUCAUGUGAUGUGAACCAGGAGCUAGUCAUUUGUUGUUAAAGGUGGAAAUUGUGGGAUCGUGAGAGGAUCCUUCCUGUAAUAGUAAUGGAAAUUGUGCAAUUUAACAAUUUUGUAGGCCAAUUGUAUCCCUUCCGAAAAUCACACCUUAUUCUGAUGGUUCGUAUUUAUAAGAGCAUGUUGUAAAAAAUGUGCAGUCAUAUACAAAGUUAAAAUUUGAGGGCGAUUACAUGUUUUGGGAUCUUAUGGUGUGGCAGAGCCAUAGAGAUCUUGUAAAUGAUGUUGGAUUUUAAGCUUUUCUUCCCCCAACUCAUUUUUAUUGUCUC